rnacentral:tRNA from 1 species
GGAGGUGGAUAGGGGCUGGUGUCUCUACUGGACUUCAAAUCCAGUUGUCCUCAGUCGGGGACGGUAGGUUCGAUUCCUACACACCUCCGCCA